GCAAAGCCCUCCCACCCCCCCCCGAUCUUGACGCUUGGCUGUGAACUUUCCGCUGGGGUAAGUUCUCCUUUAAGAAAAGGAACUGCUCCUUAUGCAUAUUUAACGCCGGGUGUCUGCAGUGCCCAGAUGACGCGGGGCUGGAGGCUCACAGGCAGGACCUGAGUUGUAGGGGAAGUAAAGGAGCCACCCUUCACCCGCACCCUCUCGCUGGGAGCCCCUUGCUCUGAACCCAUGCUCCCUCCGAGGAAGGACCAAUUCUGCUGGCACCCCAUGUCUGGACUUUGGAGGGCAUGGCAGAGCAGCUGGAUCUGAAAGCACCAUCCCCAUAGGUAGAAAUCCUCCUCUACACCAUGCGCCUUGCAAGGAAGGCAACGAGGGGACACGUGGAGAGACCAAACAUCUGGCACUGAGGAACUGAGGUCCACCUCGCACUGCCCUGAAGGAAAGUUUGUUCCCAAACUGAUUACGUUGUGGCGUUCGGUGCUGGUGUCAAAUUGGUUCGAGCCAUUCCAAGUGUAAAAUAAAGAUCUCUGCUUGGGUACGCCUGUCGUGCCACUGAACGUCUUGCUAACCCUCCUCUGUUUGCCUUGAAGGUAUCGAGCUGAUGUAGCGUUGUCUUUUCACCCCACCAACGUGCGCAGUAGGAACAAUUCAGGAAAGUUAUGUUUAGCUUUUUUUUUUUUUUUUUUCCUUUUUUUUCCUUGCAGCUGAAGAAAUGCAAGCUAUCAGAAACAAGCCUAUGUUUGAAGGUACAGUUUUCAACACGUGAGUGGGAAACAUAUGUACUGGCACAAUCCUGCUGCUCUGCAAGGGCUGCGUUCAGAUUUUGGCUUUUAAUCUCAACUCUGUUAGGGAGAGGGAGAGAUGCAAAAUGGAAGGGAGCGUGAUUAUUUGUGCUAUAGCCAUGUGAUAGUCAUCCCAUAACCGUUGGGAAGAGAAGCAAAACACUCUGCUAGAGCUCUGGGUGAGCCUGAGAUUCAGGGGGACUCGAGUCUUCGCAGGUUCUCACUUCACUGCCUUUCUUCCCUCGGUGUUUGUUAUAUGAGGUUCUUUUUUUGUCUGCUGUUCUACGUUUUAAAGUGAGUAGAGGCUAAACCCUGCUGAGAGAGUGAGCUCCCUCCAUCACAAACUCCCGUUUGAAAACGUCUACCCCCCUUGACCACCCCCCUUCAAGCCAUCCUCCCCCUUUCAGGGGAGAAAAGAAAACCUCAAAAGAGAGCGAGAGAAAAGGGGGUUGGGAGGGGAGAGAGAGGGGAGACCCCCUGAUUCCUUGAUGACCUGCACAGCUCGGACAGCCCUCCGAGUUCCCCUGUGCUGUGGACAAGCCCCAUCAGAAAAACAUAUGCCCGGACCCAAGCAACUUUUAAUGUGGUUUGGGUUUUUUACAGUUCGGGUUAUGUUUUAGUACUUCCAAGAGGGGGUGGGGAGGGGGAAAUAAAGGUGGGGAUGGGGAGGGGAAGGGAGAAAGUUAGGAUUUAGCCUUUUGCUGCUGAAAAAGCACCAUAAAAUAAAAAAACACAGCCAAGAAGAAACUAAGCGAGCCUGUCCCACAGCCAGCCUUCCCUGCGAGGGAGCUGAAGACAUACACAAUAGCACACAAAAAGCAGCAGCUCCAACUCUUAAUACCAGCACCCUGUGCUCACUGCCUUACCGAAACGCCCAGGCCUGCUCUUGGUGGUGCCCUUCAGAGCGGCCACCUUCCGUCCCUGUGCUGCGGCCUCCGUCCCCCCUGCCUGGGGACUUGAGGCUUGGCAGGAAAGUUUCUGUGCUGCUGCAGGCGUAUAUACACACACAGGGAUCUAUGUUAUCCACACACAUGCACACACAUCUUUAUAUAUAGAUACGCAUGUAGGUGUAGAGUCUAUGUUUAAAUACUCCUAUAUAUACACACACAGUCCUCCUAGGAUGAGGUCAUUCCACAAGAUCUGGCUGCAUCGAACGCCAAGAUCUUAUCUGUGCCGAUCUAAGGAGCAACACAGACGACACUCUAGCAGAAGUGGAAAGAAAUUUGGGAGACAAACAUUCAACAAGGUGUCCCUGGAGGCCCCUCUGCCGCCCUCCCCAGCCCAAGCACCCACUCACUCCUUGCCUGAGCUGCACCCUGCAGUGUGGGGCUGAGCCCUCCUGCUGCUGCACCUUGAAGUUUUUCCCCUCUUUUUCUUUCUUUUUUGCACCGAUGCUCACCUCCCUAACGCGCUGGUGGGCUGCAGAUUAAUACAUAUAUGCAUUUUUCCCCCGUGGCUCUGAAAGUCUUCAUGUUUUUUUGAUUUCAGCAAACUGAAAACGGAAGGGGGGGAGAGAUGAUGCUCGGCUGCGGGACUCCGAGAGGUUUCGCUUUCCAGCUAUCAGCAGCGCCAGGAGACAGCUCCAUUUAAAAAAAAAAAAAAAAAAAAAAAAAAAAAGUAGUUUUCCACUGCUCUUGAAAAGCCGUUAUUUUUUACAUCGCUUUUAGGGAGAUAGAUUAACAAAACAUCACAUUUCAAGCCACUCUGAUCUGUAAUUAAACGGGGGAGCCGGUUUGUAUUCUCCUAUGGCUUUUACAGAAGUUGCAGUGAUCCAAAGUCAGGUUGCUGUGUCAGAGUGGCAUUUUUAUUAAUGAGAAUACAAAAAGCUUGCAUAUUCUUAGCCUGGCUUGAAUUUAGUUGCUAAGCAACCGCUGUAUGGUAAUUCAUCCGCGAAAUUUAAAUCGGGGAGAAAGGAUCGUGCGGUUUUUUGCUCAAUGGGCGCCACGAGGAACACAACUUGUGGGACCCGCAGCGGCUGCCGCCGCCACCGAGCCGCCCGCCCGCCGCACCCCGGCACUGCCCCGGACCCACCGGAGCUCCCCAAGGUCCUCAGGGGACGAGGACAGGGUUUGGGGGCUGGGUUGGGGUCGGGGUUGGGACCGGGGAAGGGAGCGGCGGCCUCCCCGUCGGGGCUGCCCACGCGUGGGGCGCCCGCGAGUGGCCCCGGCCCCGAGGGGUCCCGGAGCGCCCCGGUGCCGCUGUUCGUUUGGCGGCGGGGAGGCCGGGAGGGAGGCUAGCCUCCCCUUGCUCAGGCCUUAACCCCUCCGCUUUUUGUCUCGCCAAAGCCUCUGUCGGGCAAAGGAGAAGAAAAAAAAAAAGGGAGGAAAAAAAAAAAAAAG